AAAUUCGAUUCCGUAAGUAGCGGCGAGCGAACGCGGAUUAGCCCAAACCAAUAAAGUUUUCUUUAUUGGGGUUGCGGACAUAUCAUAACGAAGAGGUAUCGUAAUUGAAGAGGUUUGGAAAGACCCACCACAGAAGGUAAUAGUCCUGUAUGUUAAACGAGAAGACUUUAGAUAUGAUCCAGAGUACCACGGGACACGUGAAACCCUGUGGGAAGCAGGAGGGACCACCCUCCAAGGCUAAAUACUACCUAGUGACCGAUAG
rnacentral:rRNA from 1 species